CUACGGGACGCUGCAGUGGGGAAUAUUGGACAAUGUGGGCAACCCUGAUCCAGCAAUGCCGCGUGUGUGAAGAAGGCCUUCGGGUUGUAAAGCACUUUAGGUUGGGAAGAAGUUGUAUGGUUGAAUAGGCUGUACGAUUGACGGUACCGACAGAAUAAGCACCGGCUAACUCUGUGCCAGCAGCCGCGGUAAUACAGAGGGUGCGAGCGUUAAUCGGAGUUACUGGGCGUAAAGGGCGCGUAGGGGGUUGUACAAGUGAGAUGUGAAAUCCCGGGGCUUAACCUAGGAAAGUCAUCUUAGACUGUAUAGCUAGAGUACAGUAGAGGGUAGUGGAAUUUCCGGUGUAGCGGUGAAAUGCGUAGAGAUCGGAAGGAACAUCAGUGGCGAAGGCGGCUACCUGGACUGAAGCUGACACUGAGGCGCGAAAGCGUGGGGAGCAAACAGGAUUAGAUACCCCGGUAGUC
rnacentral:rRNA from 1 species